UGUAGAAGGAGGAUCAUCUGGUUCUGGACCACAGUUGACCAGGGCAAUUGGAACCUCAGCAAAACUAUGGAUAAGGGCGGAACUACUGUGGAGGGAUUUCCCAUAUUACCUCCUGGCCCCACUCAUGCAUAGCUUCCUCUAUUAUAAAAAUUUCUCACCAGAGGGAAAACGGGAGCCAGAGCCCUCCCACCUUAGCAUCUUCACAGCAUACCACCAGGUGAUUUUGGCACACUGCUUCUCAACAACUGCUGCUAGCAGAACUAAGAGAGGUGCCCUAACCUGAAACUCAGGUGGCCGGAUUUGGGCUAAGGGAAUAAUGUUUGGAGGAAAGUCAAAUUCCCAGAAUAUUUACCCAAGAAAGGAUUUUUUUUGCCUUAAAAAUCCCUUCCACCAGAGCUAUGAUGGGUUGAUUCUCUCUCUUUUUUUUUUUUUUUUUUUUUUUUUUUUUAAGAUUUUGUUUAUUUAUUCAUGAGAGACAGAGAGAGAGAGAGGCAGAGACAUAAGCAGAGGGAGAAGCAGGCUCCUUGUGGGGAGCCUGAUGUGGAACUCCAUCCCAGGACCCCAGGAUCAUGACCUGAGCCAAAGGCAGACUCUCAGCCACUGAGCCACCCAGGCGUCCCUGAUGGGUUGGUUCUGAAGGAAAGUUUUAGUUCGGUAGAAGAAUACAACAUUUGAGAUGUAUGUAUGGGAAAGUAUGGAGUGGACAUCAAAAAUGAGAGACAGAGUAAAUUAUAAACCACCAAAA
rnacentral:lncRNA from 1 species